rnacentral:rRNA from 1 species
AACGUAGGAGACAAACGUUAUCCGGAGUUACUGGGCGUAAAGGGCGUGUAGGCGGUUUGUUAAGUCUGGCGUGAAAGCUCUCGGCUAAACCGGGAGAGGUCGUUUGGAUACUGGCGAACUAGAGGAUGGUAGAGGCGUGUGGAAUUCCGGGUGUAGUGGUGAAAUGCGUAGAGAUCCGGAGGAACACCAGUGGCGAAGGCGACACGCUGGGCCAUACCUGACGCUAAAGCGCGACAGCAUGGGGGAGCAAACGGG